GGUGGGGUCGCAUAGUGGCCGAGUGCGCCCGCUUGGAAAGCGGGUAGCCCGCAAGGGCUCGGGAGUUCGAAUCUCCCCCCCACCG
rnacentral:tRNA from 1 species